rnacentral:rRNA from 1 species
AUUGAACGCUGGCGGCAGGCCUAACACAUGCAAGUCGAGCGAGCGGCGGACGGGUGCGUAAUGCCUAGGAAUCUGCCUGGUAGUGGGGGAUAGCGUCCGGAAACGGGCGCUAAUACCGCAUCCCCUCGGAUGUGCCGCGAUGGGAUUAGCUUGUAGGUGGGGUAACGGCGCACCUAGGCCACGAUCCCUAGCUGGUCUGAGAGGAUGACCAGCCAAACUGGAACUGAGACACGGUCCAGACUCCUACGGGAGGCAGCAGUGGGGAAGAUUGGACAAUGGGCGCAAGCCUGAUGCAGCCAUGCCGCGUGUAUGAUGAAGGCCUUCGGGUUGUAAAGUACUUUCAGCGGGGAAGCGUUACCCGCAGAAGAAGCACCGGCUAACUCCGUGCCAGCAGCCGCGGUAAUUC